GGACUACUGGGGUAUCUAAUCCCGUUCGCUCCCCUGGCUUUCGUGUCUCAGCGUCAGCACACUCCCAGUUACCUGUUUUCACCAUUGGCGUUCCAAAUGAUAUCUACGCAUUUCACCGCUCCACCAUUUGUUCCGGUAACCCCUAAGUGGCUCAAGACACCCAGUAUACCGAGCAGUUCCACGGUUAAGCCGUGGGAUUUCACAAGGUACUUAGGCAUCCGCCUACACACGCUUUAAGCCCAGUGAUUCCGCCUAACGCUCGGCACCUCUGUAUUACCGCGGCUGCUGGCAC
rnacentral:rRNA from 1 species